CCCCCCGUCUUUUUAUCUAAUUUCCCCUGAUUUUUGUCCCCUGUUGUUGAGCGUUGUUGUCCUGUCGUUCUUGACUUGUGGUGCUCUUGAGUGUUACAGGAGAUCGAUAGGUAAAAACAACGUUCGAGUGUUUAUAUAUAUGCUUUCCUUGAUUUCUCACAACAAACUUUUUGGGGAGUUUGUUUGCAGUUAUGUUUGGUUUUGGAGAGUUUGUUUGCAGUUUUGUUUGGUUUCCAGAUUUAGCAUCGGUAUUUUUUUUUGUCAAUUUUAAAAAAUAAGAUGAAAUAUUUACUACAAAAUAGCAUCUAACAGAUGUAAAAAUUGAAAAAAUUUUCCCAAUUUUUUAUUUGGAGCAAGUUGGUAGCUUUGUGCCGACUGUUGCUUUUCUUUCUUGCGCACUUAGUAGAGCUUCCUAAUUAUCCUUUUAUUUAUUUGUCGAUAAUUUCGUAAUGUUUUGGUUUAUAUUCCUUUUUUACUUUAUGUUUCUCUUAGAUUAAGUUUCGAUAAGAAAUAAAAUUCCAUUUUAACACAUUUGAAAAUAUUAUAUAACUAAUCUAAUUGAAGUUCAGUGGACAAGCCAAAUACAAUUUUUUCCCUUAGCCAUUAAUUGUUAGCUAUUUUUCUGCUAUUCUUUUUCGCAUACAUGAAUUUGUUGUGUUUUUUAUGCUAACCUUUUCUUUUUUGAGUCAAUAUAAAGGAUAGGAGAAUUUGGUUAAGUGUUUUACUUUGGUGAAACGUUCGAAAACUAUUGUUGUCCGCCCAUGUAGUAGCGGGGGUGCUUCUAAGGAGGACCCUACAGCGCCUCCGGGUUAUUAUGGCGGUGGGAAUUGACAGAAUGGCGGGCUUUUCUUUUUGGGUUUUUUGCUAGGGGCCCUGUUGUAUAGCUGGUAACUCUACUAGACACUAAAUAAUUUUCUGCUCGCUGUGAAAGUUCUACUUAUAGUUCACACUGUGUUGCCAAAUCAUAUGACAGAAACUUUCCUGUUUUGCUUCGUUUAAAUUAUUCGACAGGUUUGCUGUUUUGCUUGGUCAUGCUUUCCAUACGCAUCGAUUUGCUUCGUGUUGGCGAGGUUCGAAUUUAACGAGUCAAUAAUUUUUGUCCCAUUUUUCUCUGGGAAUUUACGUGCUUUGCUUUUGGCUGUCAGCAUUGCAGUUUAAUUCUGAGAUUUUAUAAUUGCGAAGUGCCGAUCUUUCACCCCUACUGUAUGCUGCAUUUAUUUGGAAUCUAAGUUGUCUAAUUGAAUUCUAAAUUAUCUUGCUGAAAUUUUAUAGCAUGCGAAGUAUCAAUCUUUCGCCCUUACUGUAUGCUACAUGUAUUUGGAAUCUAAGUUGGCUAGCUGAAUUCUAAAUUACCUUGCUGAAUUCUACUGGCUGAAAAUUCCAUAGAAGUCCCUUCUCUGUAUUGCCCAGCUGAAUUCCCAAUUGCCUAGCAGAAUCCUGUGUUCCUAAUUCAGGUAUGCAGAAUCUGAAUUGCACUAUCAGACUAAGAGUAGGUAAAGAAAAAGGGUUUCUUAAUUUUGCAAUAGUUUUCUUUUUAUAUGAAACAAUAUAUGUGAGUUUGCUUCCCAAGUUUCGAAAUUUGGGUUCUGAAUUCAGAAUACGAACUCUGGACAAAGGAUAUUUAUUUUCCUUAUAUUCUUCAUAGAAUUCCAAAUUGCAAAGCUUAAUCCUGAAUUCCCGUGCUAUGAUGAUCUCCUCCUUGAAUAUCAAAUAAUUGCGGCAAUUGAGACGGGCGCAACCAUCCUUCAUUGCUGAUGGGGGUUUGAGUCUGCCUGCAACUGCUCAUUUGAGUCUUGGUAUUUAUCACAAUUCCUGAUUAUUGGUGGCUCCAAAAGAUAUUGAAUUUGUGUACAAUUUUUCUCUGUUCAAAUUCCUAUGACUCAAUUAUUUAUAUUGUUGGUUGUGGACUGAGCAUUAAAGAAAGAUAUUGGACCUUUUCCAUGCAUGAAUCUACACAUAUAUAUUGAUA